GGGUGAGUAACACGUGAGUAACCUGCCCCCGACUCUGGGAUAAGCCCGGGAAACUGGGUCUAAUACCGGAUAUGACUGAGAAUCGCAUGGUUUUUGGUGGAAAGAUUUAUCGGUGGGGGAUGGACUCGCGGCCUAUCAGCUUGUUGGUGAGGUAAUGGCUCACCAAGGCGACGACGGGUAGCCGGCCUGAGAGGGUGACCGGCCACACUGGGACUGAGACACGGCCCAGACUCCUACGGGAGGCAGCAGUGGGGAAUAUUGCACAAUGGGCGAAAGCCUGAUGCAGCGACGCCGCGUGAGGGAUGACGGCCUUCGGGUUGUAAACCUCUUUCAGUAGGGAAGAAGCGAAAGUGACGGUACCUGCAGAAGAAGCGCCGGCUAACUACGUGCCAGCAGCCGCGGUAAUACGUAGGGCGCAAGCGUUAUCCGGAUUUAUUGGGCGUAAAGAGCUCGUAGGCGGUUUGUCGCGUCUGCCGUGAAAGUCCGAGGCUCAACCUCGGAUCUGCGGUGGGUACGGGCAGACUAGAGUGAUGUAGGGGAGACUGGAAUUCCUGGUGUAGCGGUGAAAUGCGCAGAUAUCAGGAGGAACACCGAUGGCGAAGGCAGGUCUCUGGGCAUUUACUGACGCUGAGGAGCGAAAGCAUGGGGAGCGAACAGGAUUAGAUACCCUGGUAGUCCAUGCCGUAAACGUUGGGCACUAGGUGUGGGGGACAUUCCACGUUUUCCGCGCCGUAGCUAACGCAUUAAGUGCCCCGCCUGGGGAGUACGGCCGCAAGGCUAAAACUCAAAGGAAUUGACGGGGGCCCGCACAAGCGGCGGAGCAUGCGGAUUAAUUCGAUGCAACGCGAAGAACCUUACCAAGGCUUGACAUGUGCCAGACCGCUCCAGA
rnacentral:rRNA from 1 species